UACGGAGGGUGCAAGCGUUAAUCGGAAUUACUGGGCGUAAAGCGUGCGUAGGCGGUUCGUUAAGUCUGUUGUGAAAGCCCCGGGCUCAACCUGGGAAUGGCAAUGGAUACUGGCGAGCUAGAGUGUGUCAGAGGAUGGUGGAAUUCCCGGUGUAGCGGUGAAAUGCGUAGAGAUCGGGAGGAACACCAGUGGCGAAGGCGGCCAUCUGGGACAACACUGACGCUGAGGCACGAAAGCGUGGGGAGCAAACAGG
rnacentral:rRNA from 1 species